rnacentral:lncRNA from 1 species
UUUGGCUUGGACAUUCUAAACGUUUACUCUCUCUAGAAUCUCCUUCUCUCUCUAGAAUCACAUUCUCUUUCUCUAGAAUCACAUUCUCUCUCUUAAGAACACAAGCCACUAUGCUGAGCUGCUUCCCCUCGGAGCUGCUAAGGUCACGAGCUCCUGAGGGACUACACCACUAGCUCCUAGUCACAAGCUAUGCAACCUGGAAUCACCACAGAUGCUAGCUAACUGAUGGAUCUCGACCAUAACCUCCUUAAGCAUUAUCUAUCUCUCUUAUACUUACUCAUACAUCUAUGCUUUAUGUUUAUACAUUCUUCUUGGAUAUGUUACUAAUGUUGAGCGUCGGAGGAUGGUACAAGCUAGGAGGUGACGAGGCUGACCCGAGGAUUGUUCAUACAUGCCCGUGACCUUAUCCUUGUUGUUUCAACAAGAUCACUAGUGAGGGUUGUUGAAGAGAGGUCUAUAACAAGCAAAAAGAAAGGUGGUAGGGUACGCUUAGCAAUACCUUUAACCAGUUAUGACUUGUAAAGUUUUUUCAUUUUUGUACAACAAUUUGGCCGUAAAACAAUACAUGAUUCUCGUAUUC